rnacentral:snoRNA from 1 species
GAUGCAUAUGACGAUUAUCUAGACAGGGACAUCGACAAUCCUGUAGAGGAUGAUGACAUUUUUUGGGAAUCUCUCUGAUGCAUA